rnacentral:rRNA from 1 species
GCUUGGGAAUAUGCCUUUAGGUGGGGGACAACAGUUGGAAACGACUGCUAAUACCGCAUAACGUCUACGGACCAAAGUGGGGGACCUUCGGGCCUCACGCCUAAAGAUUAGCCCAAGUGAGAUUAGCUAGUUGGUAAGGUAAUGGCUUACCAAGGCGACGAUCUCUAGCUGGUUUGAGAGGAUGAUCAGCCACACUGGGACUGAGACACGGCCCAGACUCCUACGGGAGGCAGCAGUGGGGAAUAUUGCACAAUGGGCGAAAGCCUGAUGCAGCCAUGCCGCGUGUGUGAAGAAGGCCUU